CUAGAAGUAGAGGCGUGCCCAAGAUUCUACUUCGAUGGCUGCAUCAACAUAACAUGCACUAUAAUGAGACCCAUGUACCUUAAGGCAAUGGUUUGGUAAACAUUAACAUUAAUUCAUUUAUUCAUAAAAUAUAAAAUUUGUGCUGAAAAAUAAAAAUGACCCAUUUUAAUUGUGCAAAGAAAUCAGCAGUUAAAGGAGAGUGUUAUGGGCACUUGCAGAAAUGAGAGGUUUUCCACUUGUUACUUAUAAUGGAUUUUAUUUUUCUUUGUUAUCAAACUGGCCCAACUUUGUAAGUAAAAUGUUUACACUAUAGACAAACGUUUGUCUUACUAUGCCAGUCCAAGUUCCUUAUUAUUUCAUCAUGGCCUUGUCUAUGUGCCAAGAAAUCAAGACUAAAGGUAAAUUAUUUUUUUCUUGAUUGAUCACGGAUUACCCCUACAGUUUCCUUUUUAAAUGUAUCAUAUAGUCUUUUUCCUGCCCAAAAUGACCAGAAGUAUUGCCAUCUAAAAUCUAUAUAAACAACAAUUAUUAAUUAGUUGAGACAGAGGGAAGAAUUUGGAAAAACUCAAUAAAAUAUUUACAAAAAAAC